rnacentral:tRNA from 1 species
GCGCCCAUAGCUCAAUUGGAUAGAGCGUCUGGCUACGGACUAGAAGGUUGGGGGUUCGAGUCCUCCUGGGCGUA